ACCGCCUACGGGGGGCAGCAGUAGGGAAUCUUCCACAAUGGACGAAAGUCUGAUGGAGCAACGCCGCGUGAGUGAAGAAGGGUUUCGGCUCGUAAAGCUCUGUUGGUAGUGAAGAAAGAUAGAGGUAGUAACUGGCCUUUAUUUGACGGUAAUUACUUAGAAAGUCACGGCUAACUACGUGCCAGCAGCCGCGGUAAUACGUAGGUGGCAAGCGUUGUCCGGGUUUAUUGGGCGUAAAGCUAGUGCAGGCGGUUCA
rnacentral:rRNA from 1 species